rnacentral:rRNA from 1 species
CCUACGGGGCAGCAGUAGGGAAUAUUGGGCAAUGGAGGCAACUCUGACCCAGCCAUGCCGCGUGCAGGAAGACGGUCCUCUGGAUUGUAAACUGCUUUUGAAUGGGAAGAAUGUGCUCCUUGCGAGGGGUAAUGACGGUACCAUUAGAAUAAGCCACGGCUAACUACGUGCCAGCAGCCGCGGUAAUACGUAGGUGGCGAGCGUUAUCCGGAUUUAUUGGGUUUAAAGGGUGCGUAGGCGGCUUAAUAAGUCGGUGGUUAAAAGUAGCAGCUUAACUGUUUUACAUGCCAUCGAUACUGUUGAGCUUGAGAUAUUUGGAGGCAGCUAGAAUUUCCGGUGUAGCGGUGAAAUGCAUAGAUACCGGAAGGAAUACCAAUUGCGAAGGCAGGUUGCUACGAAUAAACUGACGCUGAUGCACGAAAGCGUGGGGAUCAAACAGGAUUAGAUACCCUGGUAGUCCACGCCGUAAACGAUGAUUACUAGUUGUUGGGGUUUAAGCCUUCAGUGACCAAGGGAAACCGAUAAGUAAUCCACCUGGGAGUACGCCGGCACGGUGAACUCAAAGGAAUUGACG